rnacentral:rRNA from 1 species
UCAGGCCUAACACAUGCAAGUCGAACGCUCUCUUCGGAGAGAGUGGCAGACGGGUGAGUAACGCGUGGGAAUCUACCCAGUACUACGGAACAACAGUUAGAAAUGACUGCUAAUACCGUAUACGCCCUCCGGGGGAAAGAUUUAUCGGUAUUGGAUGAGCCCGCGUUUGAUUAGCUAGUUGGUGAGGUAAUGGCUCACCAAGGCGACGAUCAAUAGCUGGUCUGAGAGGAUGAUCAGCCACACUGGGACUGAGACACGGCCCAGACUCCUACGGGAGGCAGCAGUGGGGAAUAUUGGACAAUGGGCGCAAGCCUGAUCCAGCCAUGCCGCGUGUGUGAUGAAGGCCCUAGGGUUGUAAAGCACUUUCAACGGUGAAGAUAAUGACGGUAACCGUAGAAGAAGCUCCGGCUAACUUCGUGCCAGCAGCCGCGGUAAUACGAAGGGAGCUAGCGUUGUUCGGAAUUACUGGGCGUAAAGCGCGCGUAGGCGGGCUAUUAAGUUAGAGGUGAAAUCCCGGGGCUCAACCCCGGAACUGCCUUUGAUACUGGUAGUCUAGAGAUCGAGAGAGGUGAGUGGAAUUCCGAGUGUAGAGGUGAAAUUCGUAGAUAUUCGGAGGAACACCAGUGGCGAAGGCGGCUCACUGGCUCGAUACUGACGCUGAGGUGCGAAAGUGUGGGGAGCAAACAGGAUUAGAUACCCU